rnacentral:rRNA from 1 species
GCUUGCUUUCUUUGCUGGCGACCGGCGCACGGGUGAGUAACACGUAUCCAACCUACCCUUUACUCGGGGAUAGCCUUUCGAAAGAAAGAUUAAUACCCGAUAGCAUAAUGAUUCCGCAUGGUUUCAUUAUUAAAGGAUCCGGUAAAGGAUGGGGAUGCGUUCCAUUAGGUUGUUGGUGGGGUAACGGCCCACCAAGCCUUCGAUGGAUAGGGGUUCUGAGAGGAAGGUCCCCCACAUUGGAACUGAGACACGGUCCAAACUCCUACGGGAGGCAGCAUG